rnacentral:rRNA from 1 species
UACGUAGGGCGCAAGCGUUGUCCGGAAUUAUUGGGCGUAAAGAGCUCGUAGGCGGCCUGUUGCGUCCGCUGUGAAAACCCGGGGCUUAACCCCGGGCUUGCAGUGGAUACGGGCAGGCUGGAGGCAGGCAGGGGAGAACGGAAUUCCCGGUGUAGCGGUGAAAUGCGCAGAUAUCGGGAGGAACACCGGUGGCGAAGGCGGUUCUCUGGGCCUGUACUGACGCUCAUGCACGAAAGCGUGGGGAGCAAACAGG